rnacentral:rRNA from 1 species
AGCGAGACUUCGGUCUUAGCGGCGGACGGGUGAGUAACGCGUGGGAACGUGCCUUUCACUACGGAAUAGUCCCGGGAAACUGGGUUUAAUACCGUAUACGCCCUUCGGGGGAAAGAAUUUCGGUGAGAGAUCGGCCCGCGUCUGAUUAGGUAGUUGGUGGGGUAAUGGCCUACCAAGCCGACGAUCAGUAGCUGGUUUGAGAGGAUGAUCAGCCACACUGGGACUGAGACACGGCCCAGACUCCUACGGGAGGCAGCAGUGAGGAAUCUUGGACAAUGGGGGCAACCCUGAUCCAGCCAUGCCGCGUGAACGAUGAAGGCCUUAGGGUUGUAAAGUUCUUUCAACGGUGAAGAUAAUGACGGUAGCCGUAGAAGAGACCCCGGCUAACUCCGUGCCAGCAGCCGCGGUAAUACGGAGGGGGUUAGCGUUGUUCGGAAUUACUGGGCGCAAAGCGCACGUAGGCGGACUAUUAAGUCAGGGGUGAAAUCCCGGGGCUCAACCCCGGAACUGCCUUUGAUACUGGUAGUCUAGAGUUCGAGAGAGGUGAGUGGAAUUCCGAGUGUAGAGGUGAAAUUCGUAGAUAUUCGGAGGAACACCAGUGGCGAAGGCG